CCUACGGGGCGCAGCAGCCGCGGUAAUACGUAUGGAGCAAGCGUUAUCCGGAUUUACUGGGUGUAAAGGGAGCGCAGACGGCAGGGCAAGUCUGAUGUGAAAGUCCGGGGCUCAACCCCGGGACUGCAUUGGAAACUGUCCGGCUAGAGUGCAGGAGAGGUAAGUGGAAUUCCUAGUGUAGCGGUGAAAUGCGUAGAUAUUAGGAGGAACACCAGUGGCGAAGGCGGCUUACUGGACUGUAACUGACGUUGAGGCUCGAAAGCGUGGGGAGCAAACAGGAUUAGAAACUCGUGUAGUGCACACGU
rnacentral:rRNA from 1 species